AUUGAACGCUGGCGGCAGGCUUAACACAUGCAAGUCGAGCGAGCGGCGGACGGGUGAGUAAUGUCUGGGAAACUGCCUGAUGGAGGGGGAUAACUACUGGAAACGGUAGCUAAUACCGCAUACCAUCAGAUGUGCCCCGAUGGGAUUAGCUAGUAGGUGGGGUAACGGCUCACCUAGGCGACGAUCCCUAGCUGGUCUGAGAGGAUGACCAGCCACACUGGAACUGAGACACGGCCCAGACUCCUACGGGAGGCAGCAGUGGGGAAUAUUGGACAAUGGGCGCAAGCCUGAUGCAGCCAUGCCGCGUGUGUGAAGAAGGUCUUCGGGUUGUAAAGCACUUUCAGUGAGGAGGCGUUAUCCGAAGAAGAAGCACCGGCUAACUCCGUGCCAGCAGCCGCGGUAAUAC
rnacentral:rRNA from 1 species